UGCAGGCACGGUAGCAGGAAUGAUAACUGCCUCGGAAGGUCUGAAGUUGACCAUGACAUACGUUGUGUCACGGAGGGAGA
rnacentral:lncRNA from 1 species